AGGCUGAGGAGGAAGGAAGGGAAGUUGGCAGUGGAGAGGGAUGUUGAUGUGAGGGAAUUCGCUGCGCCGCCGGUUAUGGAGUUCGAGCAGGAUCCGGUUCAAAUUCUUGAUGCUAUGUUCAAAUUCUAACCAAAUGUAUGAGUUCAAAUUUGGCGAGUCUCAACAUUUUAAACUAUACUAAGUUCGGCAGAUAAUAAAGGUUUAGGAUCAAGGGUCUACAUGAAUUCAAAAUUUUUUCUUGGUCUAGAAAUUGCUAGAAGUCAACAGGGUAUUGCAGUGUAUCAACGCAAGUAUACUUUGGACUUGCAAGAUGAGUUUGGGUUGAUGAAUGCCAAAGCAGCCACCACCCCAAUGGUCUGACAUCUGAUAAUCUUCACCAUUGGAGGGUGCUUGUCCUGAUACUCGCCAUUCUGUAUCUGUAUUCAAUUUCUUUCUUGGGAGAUCAUUGAUAUUUUGGCGCAGCAAGAAGUGGCACACAGUAGCACAUUCCGUAGCUGAAGUUGAGUACAAAGCAAUGACACUUGUCACUUGUGAGUUGUGACAACCAAUUGGCUCUUCACAUUGCACCUAAUCUAGUUUUUCAUGAGAGUACUAAAUAUAUAGAGAUAGAUGGAUUGCCACAUUGUCCAAGAUAAAGUCUAAGGAGUAGUAGUAAGCUUCUCCUAUUAUAUUCGGCUCACCAAGUCACUACCACUAAUCCAUUCAUAUCAUGUAAAAGCAACCUAGAGCUGAUCAAUUUUCAUGCAUUCCAGCUUGAGAGGAAUGUAGUUGAAGAUGUAAAUUAGUAGUGAGGAUAUUGUAUUAGCAGUAAGUUAAA